GAUGAACGCUGGCGGCGCGCUUAACACAUGCAAGUCGAACGAUGAAGCCGGAGCUUGCUCUGGUGGAUUAGUGGCGAACGGGUGAGUAACACGUGAGUAACCUGCCCUUGACUCUGGGAUAAGCGCUGGAAACGGCGUCUAAUACCGGAUACGAGCUUCCACCGCAUGGUGAGUUGCUGGAAAGAAUUUCGGUCAAGGAUGGACUCGCGGCCUAUCAGCUUGUUGGUGAGGUAACGGCUCACCAAGGCGACGACGGGUAGCCGGCCUGAGAGGGGGACCGGACACACGGGGACUGAGACACGGCCCAGACUCCUACGGGAGGCAGCAGUGGGGAAUAUUGCACAAUGGGCGCAAGCCUGAUGCAGCAACGCCGCGUGAGGGACGAAGGCCUUCGGGUCGUAAACCUCUUUUAGCAGGGAAGAAGCGAAAGUGACGGUACCUGCAGAAAAAGCACCGGCUAACUACGUGCCAGCAGCAGCCGCCG
rnacentral:rRNA from 1 species